GGAGCAGCGUUGGAGCAGCAGUGGGGUUCGGUGGAGAGAUGAAGUUUGAUAGCAGUGCGUGGAGCUGCCUACACUCUACCAUUGCUAAUCCUCUCGAUUUCAGACCUCUUGCAUCAGGAAGUGGUGAUAAUGCACUGGGCAUGUGCAAAGAUAAUAGCUUCUUUAGCAAUUCCUGAUAUCACUCUUCUUGAAAUUUUACUUGAUAAGUUAAAAAUAUGCAGAAGUAUAUCUUAUGCAGCAGUUGCUGCUCAUGCGGAUAAGAGUGGCAGACGUAAAUUGGUUGCUAUGCUUGUUGAACAUGAACCACGUUCUUCCAAGUAGGUUCUUUCUUCUUUCUUUUCCACUAUUUCGUUAUUUUUCUUUCUUUCAAUCCUUUGCUGGAGAAAUGUCUCUCUAAAGAACUGAAUGAUGGCUUUAGUUAUUUUGUAAGAGAUUUUGAUCGUUGUCUCAAGUUCCUCUACUACUAAGCAUUGUGGAGGAGGAUACAGCUCUGAGAAAGACAACUGAAAGUUGUGAUACCGACCUUGUCUAUCUUGUCCUAUUUAAUAUCUGGCAGAAGGUAUCACUUGUGAUAUAUACUUAUUUUAAGUAAUUUGUAUGCCUUAAUAUACUUCUAUAGAUGAAUCCAUUAACAUUUGUGGAGUGCAAACAAAUGUCACUUUCUUGGGUUAUGAUUUAUUUGUCUUUUCCACAUACAUUUGUUAAACACAGAGGCCACCGUUGGAGUUAUUUGGAAUGAUGCAGGCCUGAACACUGGCACGUAAUUUAUUUGUAAGUUAUGCACGGUGGGUACACUCUAUUUGACUCUUUUGAGGGUUGUUUCUUUAAUCUGGGGACCUUAUUAUGUAAACCUGUUAUUAUUUCUUUAUUUGUGCAGAUACUGUAAGCAUGAUUUUCUAACAUGCUUCUUUCUUUCGUUUGGACAGCUUCAAGUAGGUUGACUUGACUUAUGUGGUUUAAAAUCUUGUUCCUGCAUUUUUAUUUUUCUUUUAAUAGACAUCAUAUAUUGGUUGCAAUAUGCUAUGUCGUUUGACCGAGUUAUUUGGUGGUUGGGCCACUUAUCUCCAGACAUGCUGUAUGUUACCAGAUGCUAUAUUUGUUUUCCAAUUUUUUUCAAUUGAAAAUAAGAAACUGACAUACAGAGCUAUUUCAUGAUUCAUGGCUUUGGGAAAUGAUGUGAGCUUUGUUGAAUUGCUAAAAGGAUAACCAUUGAGCAAAGAAAGAAAUUUCAGCAUAAUCUUGUUAUAGGUGAUGAUUGGAUAAUAAAUUUUGUUGAUUAUUAAUAUUUAAGAAGUUGGCAAUGUAAAAUAAAGUGGGACCUAUUUAUGAUUUUGUA